AACGCGAAGAACCUUACCAGGUCUUGACAUCCUCUGAAAACUCUAGAGAUAGAGCUUCUCCUUCGGGAGCAGAGUGACAGGUGGUGCAUGGUUGUCGUCAGCUCGUGUCGUGAGAUGUUGGGUUAAGUCCCGCAACGAGCGCAACCCUUGACCUUAGUUGCCAUCAUUAAGUUGGGCACUCUAAGGUGACUGCCGGUGACAAACCGGAGGAAGGUGGGGAUGACGUCAAAUCAUCAUGCCCCUUAUGACCUGGGCUACACACGUGCUACAAUGGACGGUACAAAGAGCUGCAAGACCGCGAGGUGGAGCUAAUCUCAUAAAACCGUUCUCAGUUCGGAUUGUAGGCUGCAACUCGCCUACAUGAAGCUGGAAUCGCUAGUAAUCGCGGAUCAGCAUGCCGCGGUGAAUACGUUCCCGGGCCUUGUA
rnacentral:rRNA from 1 species